rnacentral:tRNA from 1 species
GUCUGCGUAGCUCAGUUGGAUAGAGCGACCGCCUCCUAAGCGGCAGCUUGUUCGAAUCCUGCGGACU